UACGUAGGGGGCAAGCGUUGUCCGGAAUCAUUGGGCGUAAAGAGCGUGUAGGCGGCCCGAUAAGUCCGCUGUGAAAGUCCAGGGCUCAACCCUGGGAUGCCGGUGGAUACUGUCGGGCUCGAGUCCGGAAGAGGAGUGUGGAAUUCCUGGUGUAGCGGUGAAAUGCGCAGAUAUCAGGAGGAACACCAAUGGCGAAGGCAGCACUCUGGGACGUGACUGACGCUGAGACGCGAAGGCCAGGGUAGCGAACGGG
rnacentral:rRNA from 1 species